AUACGUAGGGAGCGAGCGUUGUCCGGAUUUACUGGGCGUAAAGGGCGCGUAGGCGGGGAAAUAAGUCAGAUGUGAAAACUAUGGGCUCAACCCAUAGCCUGCAUUUGAAACUGUAUAUCUUGAGGGCAGGAGAGGAAAGUGGAAUUCCUAGUGUAGCGGUGAAAUGCGUAGGUAUUAGGAGGAACACCAGUGGCGAAGGCGACUUUCUGGACUGAACCUGACGCUGAAGCGCGAAAGCAUGGGGAGCAAACAGGAUUAGAUACCCUGGUAGUCCAUGCCGUAAACGAUGAAUACUAGGUGUAGGGGGUAUCGACCCCCUCUGUGCCGCAGUUAACACAAUAAGUAUUCCGCCUGGGGAGUACGGCCGCAAGGUUGAAACUCAAAUGAAUUGACGGGG
rnacentral:rRNA from 1 species